AGAGGCGAUUUUGAAGAUGCAAAACAAAGAGAGAGGGUGGUGAGAAGAGACUUCACCACUGAGCAGCAUGUAUAAAAGGCAUGGGAGCACAGCAGCAGGCCAUUUUGAAGAUGCAGAACAAGGAGAGGGAGGGGUGAGAAAAGACUUCACCACUGAGUAGCAUGGAAAUCACAAAGAACUUUGCUCUAAGGAAAAGAAGUGAAUGUCUCAAGGACUCGGCU